rnacentral:rRNA from 1 species
UUUUUGAUAUUAAUUUAAAGUCAGGCCUGCCCACUGAAAUUUUUAAAGGGCCGCGGUAUUUUGACUGUGCAAAGGUAGCAUAAUCAUUUGUCUUUUAAUUGAAGGCUGGAAUGAAUGGUUUGAUGAAAUAUUAACUGUCUCAAUUUAAUAAAAUUAAAAAUUUAAUAUUUAAGUUAAAAAGCUUAAAUUUAAUUAAAAGACGAGAAGACCCUAUAGAUCUUUAUUAUUAAAAAUUUAAUUUAUAUUUAGUAUAAUUAAUUAUUAAUUAAUUAUUAAUAAUUUUAUUGGGGUGAUAGGAAAAUUUAAUAAACUUUUUUUAUUUAAACCCAAAAAUUUUUGAUUUAUUGAUCCAUUUUUAGUGAUUAUAAGAUUAAGUUACCUUAGGGAUAACAGCAUAAUUAUUUUUGAGAGUUCUUAUCGAUAAAAUAGAUUGUGACCUCGAUGUUGAAUUAAAGAUUAUUUUUAGGCGUAGAAGUUUAAAAUAUAGGUCUGUUCGACCUUUAAAUCUUU